ACUUGGGAUGUAAAAUGUUACAUGGUUAAUCGAUAACCAUAAUACCUUACCGAUAAGACUGAUGCUUAACGUUUAAACUGCUGCGGGACUCCACUGCUGGCCCCCAGCACCCUGGCUGUUGGCCUCCUGUGCCCAGAGUCUCAGCUGCCAACCUGUGCCCCAGCAUCCUGGCUGCCGGCCCCGCGUCCAGGGCUCUGCGUGGGGGACGCGGCGCAACCAGGAUCCCAGGUGCGUAGGACAGCAGCAGAGCCUAAUGGUUAAACAUUUAACUGGUACAAUUUUAAAAGUUUAAACGUUUACUUUUUUUAACCACUAUUUACAUCGUUACACUCGACCAGAUAGAUGGGGGGGGAGAAACACUUCACACACCAGGCAAAUGGCCCUGAGCUUUCUGACCUUUAUGUGAAGCGACAGCUCCUCCCAUGACCAUAGUCCUUGAGUUUUGAGGGCACCACGGUGCACUCCCCAGCCGAGGUUGGACGCAUCCGACACCAGGGACACUGUGGGCCAUGGAGCCACGAAUGGAACCCCUUCCAUCACCGGAUUCGUGUUGCACCACCAUUGGAGGGAGGCCCAGGGCAUGACAAGUGGCUUGCAACACCUCAAUACUGCACUGCACCUGCUUGUGGGAGCAACCCUUAAUGAGCCAGUCAUCCAGCCAGGGAUUGAUCUGGACCCCCUGAUGUCUGAGCAAACAGGGCCGAGCCGUUGAACGGGAGGUCCUGAAUGGACUGUUGGACUUCUGCCAACAGACUGGAUGAUUGAAGACAUUAUGCCCUUCUCAUGGCCACCACAGAGGCCAUCGCUCUGGCUGCAGAGUCUGCCACAUCUGAGGUGGCCUGGAGGGAGACUCUUGCAAUUGCCCUGCCCUCCUCUAGUAUGGCAUCGAACUUCCAUUUGGUGUCCUCCGGGAGUGAAUCAGCAAACUUGGCCAUGGACUGCCAUACACUGAAGUGAUACCUGCCGAGCAGAGCCUGGUGGUUUGCGAUGCGAAGCUGUAGGCUGGCUGUUGAAUAAAUUUUCCUGCCCUACA